rnacentral:piRNA from 1 species
UGACUAGUAGUAGUGGAGUGUCUUGUU